rnacentral:rRNA from 1 species
AACGAACGCUGGCGGCGCGCCUAAUACAUGCAAGUCGAGCGAGAAGACGUAGCAAUACGUUUGUAAAGCGGCGAACGGGUGAGGAAUACAUGGGUAACCUACCCUCGAGUGGGGAAUAACUAGCCGAAAGGUUAGCUAAUACCGCGUACGCUCCUUGGACUUCGGUUCAGGGAGGAAAGCGAUACCGUGGGUAUCGCGCUCUUGGAUGGGCUCAUGUCCUAUCAGCUUGUUGGUGAGGUAACGGCUCACCAAGGCUUCGACGGGUAGCUGGUCUGAGAGGACGAUCAGCCACACUGGCACUGCGACACGGGCCAGACUCCUACGGAGGCAGCAGUAAGGAAUAUUGCGCAAUGGGCGAAAGCCUGACGCAGCGACGCCGC